UUUAGGGAAAUGACUCCUUGGAACUUAUUUUAAUACGAAGCAGGGACAGGUUAUGAAUAUGUACAGGCGUAUUGUGAAACUUCAUGCAUACGUAACUCUUUACUGCAUAUAACCAAGGCGAGCUGCCGCAUCAGGUGCGCACGACUUUGGCGGGACUACCCCCCGUGCUGCCCAGCGCUGAAUAAACAUACCUACUUUAAAAUCUUACCGAUUGUGGAGUCCGUUUUCCGCAAAUCAAUCCCACGAA